rnacentral:rRNA from 1 species
AAUUUUGGACAAUGGGCGAAAGCCUGAUGGAGCUACGCCGCGUGAGUGAAGAAGGUUUUCGGAUCGUAAAACGCUGUUGUAAGGGAAGAACAAGUACAGUAGUAACUGGCUGUACCUUGACGGUACCUUAUUAGCAAGAUACGGCUAAUUACGUGCCAGCAGCCGCGGUAAUACGUAUGUGGCAAGCGUUGUCCGGAAUUAUUGGGCGUAAAGCGCGCGCAGGCGGUCCUUUAAGUCUGAUGUGAAAGCCCACGGCUCAACCGUGGAGGGUCAUUGGAAACUGGGGGACUUGAGUGCAGAAGAGGAAAGUGGAAUUCCAAGUGUAGCGGUGAAAUGCGUAGAGAUUUGGAGGAACACCAGUGGCGAAGGCGACUUUCUGGUCUGUAACUGACGCUGAGGCGCGAAAGCGUGGGGAGCAAACAGG